GACCAUACAUGCUUAAAACCCCUGUUCCCGUAAGAUCAACGAAGUUAAGCAACGUCGAGGCUGGUCAGUACCUAGAUGGGUGACAGCUUGGUGAUACUAGGUACUGAA